GACGAACGCUGGCGGCGCGCUUAACACAUGCAAGUCGAGCGAGAACCUGGGCUUCGGCCCUGGGGACAGCGGCGAACGGGUGAGUAACACGUGGGUAAUCUGCCCUUGACAUCGGGAUAGCCCGGGGAAACCCGGAUUAAUACCGAAUAGCCUCCGGAGCCCUCGGGCGCCGGAGAAAAGGUAGCUUCGGCCUCUGGUCAAGGAUGAGCCCGCGGCGGAUUAGCUUGUUGGCGGGGUAACGGCCCACCAAGGCGACGAUCCGUAGCUGGUCUGAGAGGACGAUCAGCCACACUGGGACUGAGACACGGCCCAGACUCCUACGGGAGGCAGCAGUGGGGAAUCUUGCGCAAAUGCGGGAAACCGUGACGCGGCGACGCCGCGUGGGGGAAGAAGGCCUUCGGGUUGUAAACCUCUUUCAGGAGGGACGAAGCUACUCGGGUUAAUAGCCCAGAGGGUGACGGUACCUCCAGAAGAAGCCCCGGCUAACUACGUGCCAGCCGCCGCGGUAACAC
rnacentral:rRNA from 1 species